rnacentral:rRNA from 1 species
AUGCUGGGAACAGUGUUGAAAGCCCUUGCUAUGAAAUUUUACACACACAUAUUAAAAGUUAUAGAAUGUUAUAUAGCGUGUAACAGCGCAAAUAAAUAUACAACUUUCAGCAACGGAUCUCUUGGCUCUCGCAUCGAUGAAGAACGCAGCGAAAUGCGAUAAGUAAUGUGAAUUGCAGAAUUCAGUGAAUCAUCGAAUCUUUGAACGCACCUUGCGCUCCUUGGUAUUCUGAGGAGCAUGCCUGUUUGAGUGUCAUGAAAUUCUCAACUGCUUCAACUUUUGUGGUUGAAGUGAAGUUGGACUUGGAGGAAUCAUUGCUGGCGUGACCUUUUAGGUUGCUUGUUAGCUCCUCUUAAAUGGAUGAACUUUCCAUUUACAAAGUAACAUCAAUGUGAUAAUUAUCUACGUUGGAUGAGUUUGUACAAGGAAAGGUAUAUCUUGGAGUUCAAAUCCUUGAUGAAACAAAUGACAAAUUUGACCUCAAAUCAGGUAGGACUACCCGCUGAACUUAAGCAUAUCAAUAAGCCGGAGGAA